rnacentral:snRNA from 1 species
GUGCCUUAAACUAAUGAGUAAGGAAAAUACUGAGUCCUGGUGAUGCUUGACUCUAUAAAAUAAACAUUAGUUAUUAAUUUUUGAAAGGGCACAGGUCGUCCCCCAUAGGGUGUUUGUCUACUUUUGCAAGUGCCCUGGGUGAUAGCGAUCUGCCCU